rnacentral:rRNA from 1 species
GACGAACGCUGGCGGCGUGCUUAACACAUGCAAGUCGAACGAUGAAGCGGGUGCUUGCACUCGUGGAUUAGUGGCGAACGGGCGAGUAACACGUGAGUAACCUGUCCUUUUCUUUGGGAUAACGGCUGGAAACGGCUGCUAAUACUGGAUAUUCAGGCUGCAUCGCAUGGUGUGGUUUGGAAAGGUCUUUUCUGGGAUUGGGUGGGCUCGCGGCCUAUCAGCUUGUUGGUGGGGUGAUGGCUUACCAAGGCUUUGACGGGUAGCCGGCCUGAGAGGGUGGUCGGUCGCACUGGGACUGCGAUACGGCCCAGACUCCUACGGGAGGCAGCAGUGGGGAAUAUUGCACAAUGGACGAAAGUUUGAUGCAGCGACGCCGCGUGGAGGGUGUAGGCCUUCGGGUUGUGAACUCCUUUUUCUCGCGAAAAAGGCACAGUUUUGGCUGUGUUGAUGGUAGUGGGGGAAGAAGCGCCGGCUAACUACGUG